UAACCUUCAAAAUUUUCUCGCGAACAAGAGCAUUCAAACGACCAGGUGUGGCUACUACUAUAUGAGGGGAUUUGCUCUUAUCUUUAAAAGCCUCCAUGUCUUGUUUAAUAUUAAUACCACCAUAAAAUACAGCGGUACGCACAUCGGGAAGAUACUUGCUGAAACGAGCAUAUUCAUUUUUGAUUUGAAAAGCAAGUUCACGAGUAUGACACAAGACAAGAACCGAGACUUCUCCAUCGACAGGUUCAAUUUGCUGUAAAGUUGAUAGAACAAAAACGGCAGUCUUACCCAUACCGGAUUUGGCUUGGCACAAAACAUCUGUUCCCAAAAUUGAUUGGGGAAUACAAACCUGUUGAACCUCUGAAGGGUGCUCAAACCCACUGUCCGUAAUUGCACGAAGAAGUUCGGGCUUUAACAAAAAGUCCCGAAAGCCCGUAGAGUGAAUUCCUACAUAAGAUCCCUUUUUAUCAGAUUUUUCACCGUUCUCUGCGGUAUCAGCAGCAGGAGUGAUCUCCUGAGCAGGCUGAUCUUGAACUAAUUCUUCUUCCUCUUCGUAAUCAAUUAAAUCCUCCUGAGCAGAUGCCAUGUUGAAUUCUAAGGUUACCUGGUGGUUGGUAGAGGAAGAACAGUAGUACGCGUUUUAGCGUACCAUAAUGGUGUAAGUGUUUGUAACGAAAUCGAAAUGAAGUAUCUUACAGUACGUUACGAUACACUAUACGGGUUGGAUGUAAGCAGAAAGAAUAACAUAUACAAAAGAAGAUCUUUUUCAAACUAUAACAUUUUUGUUAGGAUAACAUAAACCAGGAUAAAAAUUUGUAGUACUUAAUUUCAUACGCAGUCAAAAUAUAAUUUUAAAUAACAGCUCCUAUUGUAAUAGCGGAACGAUAACCAGUUAAAAAGACGAACUAAUAUUAACAUUUCAACUAAAUUUUUUUUAGCUCCGAUAAGUCAACAGAAAGGGAAAGCGCUCGAAAAUAACGAAAUGAGUGUCUUCCAAUACCAAAAAUAAAUUUCUAAAGGGAGAGUGUCUAUUUUCAAAGACAGGGAUGGAUAUAAACAAACGAAUAACUAUUACAAAAAAUUCCUACAAUCCACGGUUGAAUUCAACCUCCACGAUGGGCUGGUCAGACUUAUCCUUCAAAUGGUGAAAUUGGGGCUCUAGCUUAAACGGGGAAAUUUUUUCUCUUGCAGGGAAGACGCCAAUUGCCAAAGGAAGGGCUAUUAAGGAAGUCAGAGUGAUAAGUCCGAGAUUGACAGGGAUGGUCAACUUAGGGCGAGUACGAAGCCAGUUCUGCUUUUGUAGUCUCAUUAAGACUAAAGGAGGGAUAACCAUAAUUGGUGAAGCGUUGAUUACACGGGAAAGAGCAGUCUCUCCAACAGCAUAAAACGCCGCCUUUUUGCUUUUUCCUAAAGAUUCUCCCUCUUUAUCGAAAACGUCGAUACCCUAUACAAACAUUAGUAAAGAAUGAAAAAACACAAAACCAAUGUAUGAAACUUCAAUACAUAGGUUUGUACCCAGAAUAAAUAAACUUAGGCUAAAACUCAUACCUGACGAAGUUCUUCGCCGCGCAUCAAAAAGACAUUUAAAACACCAGCUGAAGCAACAGCAGCAAAAGGGGUCAAUCUUCCGAGUACCGCUUUGGACGAAGAAGAAAGAAAGUUCAUACGAGGCACAAUUUUGUUGAGACCAAUAGCAACACCACAACUUGCACUAACAGCAUAAAUAUAGGAUUUAGUCAUCUGCGGAAGAGUCAAUUGCGUAGAUUUAUUUGCAUUUGCAGAAUUAAAAGCUACAUUUACAGAUUGAUUCAUCCACUGCCAAAAAACGGUUCCAGCGGUACCAAGGUUUGGUUGCAGCAUACCUGCUGUGACGACCAAAUUAGUCUAAUGAUUAGCAUUUAGUCACUAAAUAGUAUUAUCUUACCAAGACAAAGCAUGACAUUCGGAAUGGUAAGAAAACAGGUUCCUUAGUAUCGGGAUGCAAAGUUGAAUCA